UACGUAGGUGGCAAGCGUUGUCCAGAUUUAUUGGGUUUAAAGGGUGCGUAGGCGGUCUAUUAAGUCAGUGGUGAAAUACUCCAGCUUAACUGGAGGGGUGCCAUUGAUACUGAUGGACUUGAGUCAAGUCGAGGUAGGCGGAAUUGACGGUGUAGCGGUGAAAUGCUUAGAUAUCGUCAAGAACACCAAUAGUGAAGACAGCUUACUGGGCUUAAACUGACGCUGAGGCACGAAAGUGCGGGGAUCAAACAGG
rnacentral:rRNA from 1 species